GACGAACGCUGGCGGCGUGCUUAACACAUGCAAGUCGAACGGAAAGGCCCUGCUUUUGCGGGGUGCUCGAGUGGCGAACGGGUGAGUAACACGUGAGUAACCUGCCCUUGACUUUGGGAUAACUUCAGGAAACUGGGGCUAAUACCGGAUAGGAGCUCCUGCUGCAUGGUGGGGGUUGGAAAGUUUCGGCGGUUGGGGAUGGACUCGCGGCUUAUCAGCUUGUUGGUGGGGUAGUGGCUUACCAAGGCUUUGACGGGUAGCCGACCUGAGAGGGUGACCGGCCACAUUGGGACUGAGAUACGGCCCAGACUCCUACGGGAGGCAGCAGUGGGGAAUAUUGCACAAUGGGCGGAAGCCUGAUGCAGCAACGCCGCGUGCGGGAUGACGGCCUUCGGGUUGUAAACCGCUUUCGCCUGUGACGAAGCGUGAGUGACGGUAAUGGGUAAAGAAGCACCGGCUAACUACGUG
rnacentral:rRNA from 1 species